CGCAGUAUUUGGACGUGGUGGAAUUGCACUUGGUGAAGGAGAUUUCGUUGCGAUCUAAUUCGUUUUUCGAGGCGCAGGGGCAGUUGCAGGAUCUCAAUGUUAAGAUAGUGGGAGGAUGUAGUCGGAUUCGGGAGUUGAAGGAGACUAUAAGGCUUUUGGAUAAGGAUCUGGUUGAGUCCGCAAGGCAUAUUCAGGAGUUAAAUGCUACCAGGAGUAAUUUGUUGGCUCUGCAGCACAAAUUGAGGGUUAUAUUAUAUGUUAAUCAAGCUCUUUCAGCUCUCAAAUUGCUUGUUGCAUCUGCAGAUUGUGCUGGAGCUUUGGAUGUUACCGAUGAUUUACAGCAUCUGCUGGAUGGAGAUGAGCUGACUGGUCUGCAUUGUUUUCGUCACCUUCGGGAUCAUGUGGGAGCUUCAAUAGAUUCUGUAAACUGCAUUCUCUCAGCAGAAUUUAUGCGAGCUGCAAUACAUGAUUCUGGGGAUGCAGAUGUGGUUAUUUUAUCUAAAGCUAAAGUCAGGGCUUCCAUUUCCCCAAAUGGAAAAGAUGAUGAAGUUAAAUUAGAUGAAGAAGAGACCUCUAAUUUUCGUGAUCGACUCCUCCCUCUCAUUGUUGGGUUGCUGAGAACAGCUAAGCUUCCUUCUGUGUUGAGAAUAUAUCGUGAUACGCUUACUGCCGACAUGAAAACUGCUAUUAAAACUGCAGUUGCAGAGCUGCUUCCCAUUCUUGUGGCCCGGC
rnacentral:misc_RNA from 1 species